rnacentral:ribozyme from 2 species
UCUGUAAUGUGACCAUUGAGCGUUUCAAGUCGCUAUGAAAAACACAGAGAACAGA